GGAGAAAUACCCAAGUCCGGUUGAAGGGACCAGUCUUGAAAACUGGAAGGUCUUAAAAGACGCGGGGGUUCGAAUCCCUCUUUCUCCGCCA
rnacentral:tRNA from 1 species